UGGGGAAUUUUGGACAAUGGGCGAAAGCCUGAUCCAGCAAUGCCGCGUGUGUGAAGAAGGCCUUCGGGUUGUAAAGCACUUUUGUCCGGAAAGAAAUCCUUGGCUCUAAUACAGUCGGGGGAUGACGGUACCGGAAGAAUAAGCACCGGCUAACUACGUGCCAGCAGCCGCGGUAAUACGUAGGGUGCAAGCGUUAAUCGGAAUUACUGGGCGUAAAGCGUGCGCAGGCGGUUUGCUAAGACCGAUGUGAAAUCCCCGGGCUCAACCUGGGAACUGCAUUGGUGACUGGCAGGCUAGAGUAUGGCAGAGGGGGGUAGAAUUCCACGUGUAGCAGUGAAAUGCGUAGAGAUGUGGAGGAAUACCGAUGGCGAAGGCAGCCCCCUGGGCCAAAUACUGACGCUCAUGCACGAAAGCGUGGGGAGCAAACAGGAUUAGAUACCCUGGUAGUCCACGCCCUAAAACGAUGUCAACUAGUUGUUGGGGAUUCAUUUCCUUAGUAACGUAGCUAACGCGUGAAGUUGACCGCCUGGGGAGUACGGUCGCAAGAUUAAAACUCAAAUGAAUUGACGGGGU
rnacentral:rRNA from 1 species